rnacentral:rRNA from 1 species
AUACGGAGGGUCCAAGCGUUAUCCGGAAUCAUUGGGUUUAAAGGGUUCGUAGGCGGGUCAAUAAGUCAGCGGUGAAAUCUUGCAGCUUAACUGUAAAAUUGCCCUUGAAACUGUUGACCUUGAAUUACGGUGAAGUGGUUAGAAUAUGUAGUGUAGCGGUGAAAUGCUUAGAGAUUACAUAGAAUACCGAUUACGAAGGCAGAUCACUAACAGUAUAUUGACGCUGAUGAACGAAAGCGUGGGUAGCGAACGGAAUUAGAAACCCGUGUAGUCC